GACGAACGCUGGCGGCGUGCUUAACACAUGCAAGUCGAACGGAAAGGCCCUGCUUGCAGGGUACUCGAGUGGCGAACGGGUGAGUAACACGUGGGUGAUCUGCCCCUUACUUUGGGAUAAGCCUGGGAAACUGGGUCUAAUACUGGAUAGGACCAUGCUGUAGGUGGUGUGGUGGAAAGAUUAGUUUCGGUAAGGGAUGAGCUCGCGGCCUAUCAGCUUGUUGGUGGGGUAAUGGCCUACCAAGGCGUCGACGGGUAGCCGGCCUGAGAGGGUGGACGGCCACAUUGGGACUGAGAUACGGCCCAGACUCCUACGGGAGGCAGCAGUGGGGAAUAGUGCACAAUGGGCGCAAGCCUGAUGCAGCGACGCCGCGUGGGGGAUGACGGCCUUCGGGUUGUAAACUCCUUUCAGCCAUGACGAAGCCCUUGUGGUGACGGUAGUGGUAGAAGAAGCACCGGCUAACUACGUG
rnacentral:rRNA from 1 species